ACCCCCUCCUCUCCCCGCCGCCGCCCACGACGGCAUCUCCUCGCCUCCCUCAACUUCGGGCGUUCUUCUUCCAUCCAGUCUAAGUCGAGCCUCGCGAGGGAUUCCGACGCCGGUGGGGAUCAAUCCGAGGCGAUGCUUGCCAGUGAUCCGGCGCAGGAGGGGAUCAACCCGAGGCGACGCGUGCGAGGAUGCGAUGUUCAAUAGGAUCCCGCCGGUAGCAGAUGUGCGGCGUCUCAUCUUCCCCGUCACCGUUGCUCCUAGCUGCAGCCACUCGUGCACGUCACCGCCAGGUUUAGUUCAAUCGCUUCUGUAUAUGAGACACUGUCUGAUGCUUAGAUUCAGUGCGCCACUAGUCUCAAGGGAGAUUUGGAGGAGGCCGAGGCUUGGAACACCGAAGACAUGUGCUUGCGUCAGCUUGAUGCCACUCCGCCACUGCAGGCGGAUUACCAUGGUCGGCUGGAUUGACCUCCCCCAGAUUCACCUGCAUCACGCAUCUCGGCUUGAUCGACUGGAUACCAUAAAGCGCUGGAUUCCUUCGGGUGCCUUGCCGCAGCUGAAUCUCCUCGAGCACGUUGUCUCCCUCCCGCACUGGAUCCCCUCGGAUAUUUGAAUAUCAUUCCGGUCUUAAAUUAUGUUCCUGGAGAGAAAUACAGGAAACUGAGCUACUGGUACGCUGCCUGAUCUUCUUUGUCCCCAACGGAUCUCCUCUCGCAUGAUCUUGCGACGGUCGACGUGCAGAAUUGAGAGGACUUGAAUGUGGUAAGGACCUUUGCUACAUCGGCUAACACAACAGCAAGGAUUCGCUUACUCAUUAUUAUCCAUUGCUCCAGCCCUAUAUAACCUUGCAGGUUAGGUUAUAUCGAUGAAUAUUAUUAAAAAAAACUUCAUACAUUACAACAAUGUGAUUUAUUUCUGGUUCCAUAACAUCUAUUUGUGGUCUGCACUCUGGAAUAUGCUUGCAACAAUCGAGUAAAAGGAAUACUUACUGAAAUGGCCAGCAUUUCCGUCAACUAUGGUAUUUGAUCUUUACUACCACCAGUGUUUCUCAGGUGUAUUUUUUAAUAUUUUUCUCUUUCCCCCAUUUACAAAAAAAAUAUAUCUCUCUAUCAAAAAAAACUUCAAAAUAGAUGAGCGCAGCAACGCGCACCAACAAUGAUCUAGUAUAUAAAGCAAAACACCAAGCCACAAGGUCUAACAAGAGUUCACGCUGACGCGCACACACAGCCGCACUCAAGGUAGCACAAUAUAUACUCCUAUAAAAGACUCGGUUGGUGAUGAUGGUGUGUCUGUCAUCCGUCAUUUUUGACCAUUAGAUCUGCAUCUAACGAUUGUGAUGUAAGUUAUGGCCUUUUUACAACAAUAUUCCACUUAUCUGCUUCAAUUUACAGAAAACCCCUUAGUAUCUUGAAACCAAACCACAUUCCUCCUUUGUUUCAUCAAAACAGUCCAAGGAAUAUAAUUUGAGUGAAACAUAAGAUAUUAUUAGUCAUAUAUGUAUAUCAAAACUAGACUUUUUUCUUUGAAAUUUGUGAAUAUGUAGUACUACUUCAGAUCCGUUGCAACGCACGGACAUAUUGCUAGUUUGGGACUAGACUUUGUUGUUGAUGUGUUUGUGUUGCUGCACAUGAAUUUGUUGUAUGGUUGUUUUACUUUUUUAUAAAAAAGAUGAAAGCCUGUUUCGACAGAGAGUAAGUGUGUACCAGGAUCGCGACGCCAUCACCUCCAUCAUUGCCGACCUUCGCUCGAUGGCUCUCCGCUUGGCGCCGCCGCUCCCUCCGCCACCUCCAGAGCCGGAUUAGAUCCUUUGUUGCUGCUUCGGAUGCUGCGGUUGACCCGCCUCCUUUGUUUAUUUCCAGGACUUGUUGAGUUGUCCUCUCAGCAGAACCGUUUGUACUUUGUGUUGUGGUACUCUGUGUGUGUACCUUGUUGUACUUUGUGGCUCUGGUGGUUUGCUUUAUCUAUAAAGCGGGGCGAAAAUCUUUUUCGAUAAGUGCGUACCAAUUUUAAAAAGAAAAUGGAAACGCGAAGAAAACGUAAAUUGCUUAAAAAGAGAGACCUAUGCCGUAGGGCAUGAGCAUGACUUGACCUGGCGUGCUACUGCUGCAGUGGGAAUCUCACACUAUUCACUCACGCACGCGGCAGCGAAGGAAUCCAAAGGGGUUCAGGCACAACCAUGCCCAUCAUAUUAAAGCAGAUUCUGUAGUUUUACGUGUCAUUCUCUUCACACGUGGCUACGAGAUCAGACUGAACAAGACACCGUAGUAGAAGAAUACAUCAGGUUUUUUCCUUCUUCUAAAAUGCUGCUGCUGCUCACAGCAUUGGAUCAGGCUUCUAUUUUCUGCGACAUGUGGUGACGAGAUCAGACUGCAGAAGAAUACAUCAGUUACUUGUAGCAUACAAGACAAUGGGGGUGGGUGGUUGCACUCACAGCGUCAGGUGCUGCUGCUCCACUAGACACAAACCACUCUCUGGCUUGCGCUGCUAGACUGCCACAUUCCAGCAUUUACUUGUGGUGACUGCCUUUAGUGGGAUCUGGGAAGGAUGGAUGCAUCAGCUGCAGCGAGAAAUCAGUUCAGAGUUUAGCUGAUAGCCAAGAACGCUGGUGUUCAAGCAGUUCAACGGCUAUGCUGCAGAGAAGAAGGCCAGGUAGGGCAGCCGGACAAUCUCUCAUUUCCAGGGCAUGCAUCUUCACGAGCAGGAGAACAUUAGGAACAGUUGAAGGUAGUGCCUGAAGAACACAUAACUCAAAUUCUCUAGACUAGAUGGUUGAUGCAACUGACAUACGGGGGACAACGAGUAGGAGAAAUGGAAGUUUGGGCUUUAGAAGGAUUUGGUGUUGCUCAUAUUUUACAAGAGAUACUUACUUAUAAAUCUGACCAUCUUAUAGCUCGCCAAGAAAUACUUGAUGCUACGAUCUGGGGAAAAAGAAUACCUAAUCAUGAGGAUCCUCCAGAAUCUUUUCGAGUGCUCGUUCGAGAACUACGAUCUUUGGCUCUAGAACUGAAUCAUUUCCUUGUAUCCUGCUAGCCAAAUAUUUCACUUGAUCAGAGCUUUGGGUUGCUUCUUCUUCUUAGUUUCCUUUUCCCCCUUGGGUUAGAGAGUUUAGAUGUGUGGCCCUUCUCUACUUUGCUAUUUCGUCCGUACAGUCUUGUCUCUUCUUUGCGCUCUUGUAGAUAAUAAGCCUAAGGGUUAUUACAGAUCUUUGGUCGAUGGACCUGAAUAGCAUGUGAUUCCAUGCGGCCCAGAUCUUUCACAGAGAGGUUAGUAGAACCAAAGGCCACAUAUUGGCCUGCAUGUCGUGUGGCAGUGUUGUGCCCCAUAGCUCAUCGACGUCCUCGGAUAUAGGUGAAAUACCCAAGCGUUGCCAAACUCUAUCAGCUAGAGGGCAUGAAAUGAAAGAGAUGCGAUGUGUCUUCACAUUGCUCAUGGCACCGAGGGCACACAUUGUUGGUGAUGAUGUGCUUGUGCGCGAGGUUGGCGUGGGUGUUGAGCCUGUUUCUGAAAAGUAGCCAGGCAGAGACUUUAAGUUUUCUGGGCACCUGUGCCCUCCAAAUGAUUGGAGUGUUCCUGUCGAGCUCAGGUUGUCUUCUAUACUUCUAUACUAUUAUUAAAAGAGCAAACAUGACUUCUCUCAAAGCCACACAACAAAUUGUACAUAGAAUAACCUGUACCGUCAGAUCAGAUCAACCUAAGCACAUCCUACUGCCUAUAUUACACGAACGGUCUGUCGCCUAGAUGAACGUCUGAGAUGAAAUGUUCUGCCGAGCAGACGCGUGGUCUGCGAUUCUUCUAGCGCUCCGCGUUCCCGAUCCCGGCGGCCCCGCCCACAGCCCCGUGAUUUUUGGGCACGAUUCCCCUUUUAUCUCUCCCUAGAUCGAGAAAUACGGAUCCGCAGCAACGUUGCGCCGCCGGCCCUCCCUUCCCUUCCUCUUCGAUGCACUUCCUAAUCCACCCCGAGAUAGACGCUGCGGAGGUUGGCCUGGCGCGGGGCUGGUGAGCGUCGAGGGGUCGCAGCAGUAGAGGGGGAGGUCGGACAUGGCGGGGAGUAGGCGGCCAGGCGCGCGGCAAUGAAGGUGUUCCGCUCGGCGAUCUCUUCCGGUGGAGCGGGAGGUGGUUGGAGGAGGAGGAGGGGGCGGGCGCCCCUGCAAUUCGCGAGGCCGAGGAGAGCAGCGGUUGGCCCCACAGCGAGGCCAGCGAGAGGUUGAGUCGCUCGAGCGCCGGGAACCAGAAGAUCGGCGGGAGCAGCGAAGUCGGGCGUCGUCGGGUCCCUGCGCAGCGCCAUCACGCCCUGCGUCACCCGCUCCGCUGCCAGUAGCCUGCCGCACUCCAUCGAGGCCCGGUGCCACGACCGAGGGUCGCCCAGGAAGCCCACGAGUGGACAACCAGGAGGCGACGUGACGGCGAAGGCGGCAAGAACGGCGUCGCAGUGGCUGCCGGGGCAGCAGCUUCACACUACCACACCGCCCUAGGCUUCAAAAUCUGGUAAUGCAACACCCCCUCCGCCUCCUUAGUUCGGAAAUUGGUUGGUGGUGUACAGUGGAGACUAAAAAUUCAGUGGAGGCUUCUUUCCACAAUUAUGUUCAUCUCAGCCAUAAGAUAGAGAGAGAUCAAUAGAUAACAUAUCUUUCAGUAAAAAGUAAAUUGCAGCCUUUGUUGAACCGUAGGUUUGCAAGUUUCUAGGAUCGAGACUUACAAACGUGUAAAUGCAAUUAAUUAGACUGGCCUACUCCUCUACAACAUUGCUGAGAUUCAACAUUCAGGAGAGUAUCACAUAUGGAAAAUCCUCUACAACUGACCAGACUGUUCGAAUUGUUUUUGAUGGUCUUUAUUUGAAUUUUGUAAGUGAAUAAGCAGGAAAGCUUCGAGAGAACUCAGUGCAUCAUUUCUUAUGCAACUGCUACUGCAAUCGAUUCCUUUCCAAGCGCUGGUAAUAUCUUUCUACAGAGCUUUUUCCUUUGUAUGCAAAUGUGAAAGAAAAAAUAUAUCCUGGCUAUGGUAUGUGGAUUAUUAUUCUCCUUAAACAACUGGCACAACUACUUUCUGUCGGUGAAGGUGUUUCAGAUAGUAGAGCCACAAAAACACUCUAAAUCUAGGAAUGCAGUGAGUAUGUGAUGUUUUUUUUCUUGAUGUGCAGGGUGGUACCAUUGGAUAGUUGUUCGUCAGGACAAUUUUGUUUGAAGUUCAAGCUGGUAUCAAAUAUUUGCUCUGGUGUUCGUAAGCCAUAGAUGUACAAAUGAUGUUAUUUCUUGAAGUCAAUUUGAAAUUUAUGUCCAUUAUGAUUAACAAAUAAACUACUCAUCAUGAUCUUAUUUGUAUAUUUUGAAAUUGUUUCCUGGUUGAUGUAUUAGGAAAGCAUGGUUAGUCCAAAUUUAAAUAGUAUACUGCAGUUCAGUUGAACAUAGUAAGUAUGGUUUAUAAGAAAUGAUCAAAAUUAUCUGCUGUGAAGAACACGUUAGGCUUCUGUUUUCAAUCUCCCUGUACUUCCAUGGUUCCAUAUCUUCUCUUAUAGGUUUGUUAUCUUGUCUGCUUGUAGAACUGUACAACAAGUUAGUUUGUUAUUCAAGCAAAAUCCAUUUAUUAUACAAAGUGUGCAUGGAUUGCUUGAUUACUGGGAUUGUAGACCACUAGGUAGUUCCAAAUUCAUUUAUUUUGUAGAAUUCCGCAGUCAAAAAAUUAUGGUAGCCCACUAGAAUUGUAUAAGGUUUGCUUAUUUAGCGCAGACUUUGUAAUUUGUGGCCAAUGGCAAUUCCAUAUUAUUUAGGCAGUUGUGAAUUCUAUGAAAUAUGGAUGAAAAGUUUCAUUGCAGAUCAUGUAUUUUUCUUUCAGCAUUUCAGUGUUUUGACAUAUUUCAGUGCAAAAUAAACUAACAUCUACAUGUCAAAGAGCAUCUUGAUGCAUAUAAAGAAUGAGUGGCGCAUCAAUGACUUGAGUUUUAUGGGUUUAUAUUGUCUCGCGGAGUCCCCUUCCCUCGAAACUGGGCAAAUAGGUAGGUGUGUUUACAAGAUUCUUUUGGUUUCCUGAGUUCAUAUACGUUGAUACUCGGUAGACUACUGUGAUUGCUGAGCUCCCGACGAAAGAAAACUCGCCAAACUUUGAACUUGGCAUGCGAGAUGAUUCCAGUGGUGUCUGUUUGUGUGUAACUGACAGGAACAUUCGUCGCUUCAUGUAAAAAAGAUCCUAUAUGCCGCAAUAGGUGCAAGCAAGCGUUUUCCUGUAUGACAGGAACAUUUAUCGAUUCAUGCCAAUACAUUUUUUAUUCAAAUAAUUGUCUCUUAACUAUGAUGAAUGAGGAAUUAUCAAGUGUUUUAUACGUGCGUUGCACGUGCAAAUGCACUACAGAAAAAACAUUUAUGCUGAUAUGUACUCGGGGUAGGGUUCGGCGAGUGUAAAACUCGGUGAAGUGCACUUGGCAUACACCUGGCAUGGGGUUUGUGAAAAUACUACUACUUAAGUAAAGCACCAACAGAAGUGGGUGUAUUGAUGUGUCGUAUCUAUGUGCUUGUGGAAUGGUCGGCACUACAAGUUUAUUUUACCUGACUUGAUGAAAUUUACACACAAUGAUAUCAUGUGUUGGUUCUAUUACUUCACCAUCUGCAUCAUCCUAAUUGCUAAGUGUAACAUUUCAGAAAAGUUGGAACCGCCAUUCUCUGUACAAUCCAAUUGUUUUAAAUAAUUUUAUCACGUGUUGUAUUCUAAUUAUUUUAUUCAGAGGUUGUAUGUGCUGAGAAGUUGUCAGUUGUGUGGUCAGUGAUCUAGAUUUAAUUUACUCCCUCCGAUCCAAAUUAAUUGAUGCUGACUUAGUACAAUUUUGGACUAAAGUGCUACUAAGUCUUUGUCAAUUAAUUUGGAUCGGAGGGAGUAGCACACUUGACAUAGUAAUGAGAAUAUUUUAGCAAUGGGAUAACGUUAUCUGAACUUUUGUUUUACUUGCAUCUUGGUUAGGGUCACUGUCACCAGUGAGCAUUUGGUAACUGGGCAAAGGAUUACCCACAUGUGGUUGGAAGUGAGCGCUUGGCUAAAACUGAAGUAGAUGAAGAGAGAUCAAAGGAGGCAAAGUUCAUCAAAAAGUCACUGUCUGCACUGGGUGAUGUUAUUGCUUCCCUUGGCUCCAAAAUGCCCACGUCCCAUAUAGGUUGCACAUUAGCAUUUUCAGAAAUCAACAUAUGUUCAAGUAAGUGCUCUUCACAAAUGGUGCAUGAUGUUCUACUAUUUAUAUUUCAGGGAAUUUUUUCUGGACAAAGGAAAGGACAAGCUAUAUAUUUGUGAACUUGAAGCAAGUUCCUAUUUUUAUAGCUAUGUGAAAGAAAAACAUUUAUUUUAUGGGAAAGGCAGUCAACAGUCUGCUUCUUCUAAACAAUGUGCAUGUUUUUUCACCCUUUUUUGUUUGUUUGUAAUACCACUGAUUGCAUGCAGCAGUUUGUUAGUACUAUUCCUUUCUCCGGGUGAAUUAUUGUAUUUUUCUUCAAAUGCAUGUUCCAGUAUAGUAUUUCUUUGUAUUCCAAAUGCACGGUUUUAUUCAAAUAAUUAGUUUCAAUGUGCCGCCAUCACAGGUCAUCAGAAUCAUUCGUAACCUGCAGAUUUUUAGAUUUGAGUUGUAAUCAAGUUGGAAAGCUGUUAGCUUGCACAACCUCAUUGGUUGAUCAUUGUAGAUACAAGAGCAUUAUACAUGACACUGUCUUGUUUGUAUCUUACAGCGAAUAAGAGGAGGCAGAGGCACAACCAACUAAGAAUCAUCCCAGGUGAAAGGUGCAAAGCUUUCAUCGCAUGGAUGUCCAGAUGGUGGUUAUCCCAUGGCAUAUGGUAGUUUUCUUUAUAGAAGAUUAAAAAUGUAGCAAUGCUAGAUAUAUGUGACUAGACUUUCUGUGUAAGCUCGUGUCUUGUACUGAAUUUUUGAAAAAUGCCAAUUGAUCAAGACUUGAGUUGUGGUCAGA